GUGUGCUCUCGAUUAAUGGUCUUGAAAAUACACGUCUUUAAUUUCUCUUAAUUUGUUGAUUAAACAGUGAUUUGGAAACAUCUCCUGACUUUGAAAAUGUAUGGGAAGAAAUCAAUAGACAAGUUCCUCCCUCUUCUAGGCCUCCCUGUUCUGAUAAUCAAGCUACCAAGACUGAAGCAAAGACGGGGGAUGUAAGAACGACUUCCAAUUCCGUGCUAAGGACUUUACUGAAUAAAAAACCAGCAACAACCCCUUUGACGGAAACGAAGAUUAAAUCAGAGAAUGCCCCUCAGUCGAAUGAAGCGACUCUGUCAAAACAAGACACGACAGUUAAAUCGGAAAUACCUUUUAAAAGGUAAUGAUACACACUAUAUUUUAUUUUUUUAGUUAUGCUUAUUUUGUAAAAUAAUACCAAUAUCCUAAGAAAAAAUCGGACGCAUUAUUAUUAUUAUUUUUUCGUUUUUUUUAUCAUUUUAGAUACACAUCCGCUAGUACCACUAGUUGUACAUACUCUCCUCCUGACGAUGAGAACUGGCCACCUGCAGCAAGUUCACCAUUUGCAAAUGUCGAGGAUUCUAUCCUAACGACUUUAAGGUAAUUCAGUUGUUCUGACUAUUGUAAAGGAUAUAACAGAUAAUGCUCUCUCUCUCUCUCUCUCUCUCAUAAAUAAAUAAAUACAUGUAAAUAAAUUAAUUAAUGACUAUAACAAUGAAAUUCUUUUCUUUCUUUCUAUUUGAUAAAUAACAUUCAACAUAAGUUUGUAUUUGUAUAGGAGAAAGAAUCCCAAUAAAUACGAAGCAUUGAAUCGGAGGAUAACAGAGCCAAGGGCCACCGCUACGCGGGAAUUUAAAGUUUUAAAAGCCCUCCAGAAAAGAAUAGUCCAAGACAUGCAGCAAAGUGAGAUAAUAGUUAAUUAUCUCACUGACAAAUAUGAAGAUGAACCCGAGAAGAAGCGGGUGAAGUUUUCUUAAAUUCCAUUGGAAAUUGGAUUGUGAAAUGAACAAAAUAUACAGCAGUGAGAAAUAAUAACUUGAAGAUCUCACGGGCAAAUAUAGUGAUGAACUUCAAGCGAACCGUGUUACUUUUUUGUGUGUUUUUUUUUUUACAUACGUCAGAAAUUUGUUUUAGAUAUUGCUCGUGAAAUGAAUAAAACGGUAUUGACCUUGUUUUCUUUUCUGUUGUAAUAUACUGAAAUUAUGGUUUGGAGAAAAAAAAGUAUUUUCCCAAGGUAACAAUAUGAGGCAGCGGGAUACACUAAGUUUAAAGAUGUUUUUACCAUACCUUCAGAAGGAAAACAAAUUCUUCAGUUACUCUUCCUGCAAUUUUCAACUUGUAUUAGAUUGUGGUAUAUGCCUUAAGUAUUUAUACAGGGAAAUAUCAAGGUGACUUAGAAGUAAUUAAAACGAGUGGUAAGAUACUGUAUUAUAUAGGGUUUUAUAAGACAGGAUUGGGUGACCUUAGCCGGAAACAAGAGGUAUAGUGACAUGUAUAUUGAGGUGACCUAGUAACUAAUUCUAAAACGGUGACCUCAGACGGAUUCAUAUAUCCAGGUGACCCUAUUUAUCAAGGUGACCUUAUUUUAUCACAGUGACCUUAUCUUAUCAAGGUGACCUUAUUCUAUCAAGGUGACCUAUAUGCGGAGGUGACCUGGCUGUUAGGGUUGUUGACCCUGACCUUAUUUUCUCAAGGUGACCCACAUAUCAAGGUGACCUGGUUUGUCAAGGUCACUGACCCUGACCUUAUUUUCACAAGGUGACCCCAUAUCUAGGUCAAGGUGACUGACCCUAUACAGACCCCAGACUACUAUACUUACUACU